rfam:Musa acuminata subsp. malaccensis Doubled-haploid Pahang (DH-Pahang) genomic chromosome, chr2
UUCCUUAUAUGAUGAAGAGAUCAUCAUCCAUACCCUUAAUGGUCUCGGAGAUGAUUACAAGGAGAUGGCAGCUGCAAUUCGGGCACGCGACACGCUAGUAUCAUUUGAAGAACUCUAUGAUAAGUUGACUGAUUAUGAGA